rnacentral:rRNA from 1 species
AUUGAACGCUGGCGGCAGGCCUAACACAUGCAAGUCGAGCGAGCGGCGGACGGGUGAGUAAUGUCUGGGGAUCUGCCCGAUAGAGGGGGAUAACUACUGGAAACGGUGGCUAAUACCGCAUACUAUCGGAUCAGCCCAUAUGGGAUUAGCUAGUAGGUGGGGUAAAGGCUCACCUAGGCGACGAUCCCUAGCUGGUCUGAGAGGAGGAUAAGCCACACUGGAACUGAGACACGGUCCAGACUCCUACGGGAGGCAGCAGUGGGGAAUAUUGCACAAGGGGCGCAAGCCUGAUGCAGCCAUGCCGCGGGUAUGAAGAAGGCCUUAGGGUUGGAAAGUACUUUCAGCGGGGAGGCGUUACCCGCAGAAGAAGCACCGGCUAACUCCGUGCCAGCAGCCGCGGUAAUUC